rnacentral:tRNA from 2 species
GGAGAGAUGGCUGAGUGGUUGAAAGCACCGGUCUUGAAAACCGGCAUACGUUAAUAGCAUAUCUAGGGUUCAAAUCCCUAUCUCUCCGCCA